AUACGGAGGAUGCGAGCGUUAUCCGGAUUUAUUGGGUUUAAAGGGAGCGCAGGCGGAGAUGCAAGCGUGACGUCAAAUUUCGGGGCUCAACCCCGUCUCGCGUCGCGAACUGCGUCCCUUGGUUGCGGGAAGGGGAGGCGGAACUCGUGGUGUAGCGGGGAAAUGCAUAGAUAUCACGAAGAACUCCGAUCGCGAAGGCAGCCUUCCGGCCCGUCAACGACGCUCAUGCUCGAAGGUGCGGGUAUCAAACAGGAUUAGAUACCCUGGUAGUCCGCACAGUAAACGAUGGACACCCGCGGUUUGGCCUGUAUGGCUGAGCCGCCAAGCGAAAGCGUUAAGUGUCCCACCUGGGGAGUACGCCGGCAACGGUGAAACUCAAAGGAAUUGACGGGG
rnacentral:rRNA from 1 species